UGUUGGUGAAGAGUCCUGCCAAAUAUGUAAGGGUAGUGCUGUGGGAAGUCUUGGUCCUCGAAAAAUCUCUUUUGUGGAAGUAGUUAUUAAGAUUCAUGAACAUGAAUUUCUUUAUUUUUGUGGCUUGGGCAACACAGGCUGAUAUAUUAUGGAGCAGAGUUUAAGAUGCUUAAGUAAGGUAAAGAAAUGUCAAGGGUCUGAAGUAGAUUCUUCCUUUGAUAUUUAGCUCUUAAAGUCACAUGGACGGGGAUCUGGAAGUUAGAAUGAAUUCUCUGCAUUGGUUGGUUUUGACAUGGAUUAUGGGAACAGAACUGUGAUAUUUAGUUCUAAAGUUGAAAGAUACGACAACCACGAUUCCUCAUGUUUAGAGUUGAAAGAUAUUUGAGGUCAAGACCAGCCAUAUAUAGUUUCUAAUGUUGGGCAACCACGAAAACAAGAUUUAGAAGAUACAUAUGGGUAGAAUCAGAAUGUUAAAAUGGAUUUGUGGUGUUAAUAUAAUAUGGCAAAGAACUGUGAGACUUAAUGUGGGAUAAACAUNNNNNNNNNNNNNNNNNNNNNNNNNNNNNNNGGUCUGAAGUAGAUUCUUUCUUUGAUAUUUAGCUCUUAAAGUCACAUGGACGGGGAUCUGGAAGUUAGAAUGAAUUCUCUGCAUUGGUUGGUUUUGACAUGGAUUAUGAGAACAGAAUAAGGUUCUGUCUAUUUAUUUGGACUGUUGGUUAGCGUCUUUGACAGACAAAGAACUUUACAUCAUAAUGAACUGUGAUAUUUAGUUCUAAAGCUGAAAGAUAUGACAACCACGAUUCUUCAUGUUAGAGUUGAAAGAUAUUUGAGGUCAAGACCAGCCAUAUAUAGUUUCUAAUGUUGGGCAACCACGAAAACAAGAUUUAGAAGAUACAUAUGGGUAGAAUCAGAAUGUUAAAAUGGAUUUGUGGUGUUAAUAUAAUAUGGCAAAGAACUGUGAGACUUAAUGUGGGAUAAACAUCCU
rnacentral:lncRNA from 1 species